rnacentral:tRNA from 1 species
GGAGAUCUAGCUCAGGUGGUAGAGUGCUUGCCUUCAAUGCACAAGGCCCUGGGUUCAAUCCCCAGCACCA